rfam:Triticum urartu cultivar G1812 contig331073, whole genome shotgun sequence.
CGAUGUCAACUCAUAACAUCCUAGGGUUGAAGAGGGUCCCAAGGGUUUGGUGUUCGCCGAUGAAAAGUAGUAUGUGAAUCAGCUUUAGAAUCUCGUGAGACGGUUU